rnacentral:rRNA from 1 species
GACGAACGCUGGCGGCGUGCCUAAUACAUGCAAGUCGAACGCAGUGGGGACGGGUGAGUAACACGUGGGUAACCUCCCAUCAGAGGGGAUAACACUUGGCAACAGGUGCUAAACCGAUACUGAUGGAUGGGCCCGCGGUGCAUUAGCUAGUUGGUGGGGUAACGGCUCACCAAGGCCACGAUACAUAGCUGGCAUGGUGGGAGAAGCGGCCACAGUGGGACUGAGACACGGCCCAGACCCCGACGGGAGGCAGCAGUGGGGAAUAUUGGGAAAGGGGCGAAAGCCUGACGCAGCAAUGCCGCGGGAGUGAAGAAGGUUUUGGGGUCGUAAAGCUCUUUUAGAGGAGAAGCGUUACCCACCGAAAAAGCCCCGGCUAACUCCGUGCCAGCAGCCGCGGUAAUUC